ACAUGCGCAAAUACUAUAUCAUUCUCUCUCUUUUUGGGGGUGUUGUGAUAUAGUAGUGUUUAUUAGAUACAGAACCAACACAUCAUUAUUACCAUAUUUUAUGGUGGUGGUGAUGUAAAAUAAGGUGAUUCAUAGUAACCGAACGGAUCGCAUUAUAAUUAUCAUUAUUUGAUGAUUGGCGAUAGAUCAUUCAAGUUUCUGACCUAUCAGCUUUCGACGGUAGUGUAUUGGACUACCGUGGCAGUGACGGGUAACGGGGAAUUAGGGUUCGAUUCCGGAGAGGGAGCCUGAGAAACGGCUACCACAUCUAAGGAAGGCAGCAGGCGCGCAAAUUACCCAAUCCUGACUCAGGGAGGUAGUGACAAGAAAUAACAACACUGGAAAUUUGAUUUCUAGUGAUUGGAAUGAUGGGAAUCCAAACCCCUUUCAGAGUAACAAUUGGAGGGCAAGUCUGGUGCCAGCAGCCGCGGUAAUUCCAGCUCCAAUAGCGUAUAUUAAAGUUGUUGCAGUUAAAAAGCUCGUAGUUGGAUGUCUGUUGGAAGCAAUCAUCAGUCCGCCCUAUUUGAUUAGGGUGUGAAUAUGAUGAAUUCCGGCAUAAUUGUCUCCCUAUUGUUAAUAUUCUGAUUGUUAGAUUCAUUUCUAACAAUAAUACGAUUAUUAAUAAUAAGGGGGAAAUGUUACUUUGAGAAAAUUAGAGUGUUUGAAGCAGGCUUUUGUUGCCUUGAAUACUGCAGCAUGGAAUAACAAUAUAGGAUUUCGGUUCUAUUUUGUUGGUUCUUUUUUUAGGACUGAAAUAAUGAUUAAUAGGGACAGUUGGGGGCAUUCGUAUUUAACUGUCAGAGGUGAAAUUGUUUGAAUCUGUUG
rnacentral:rRNA from 1 species